AUCGAACGCUGGCGGCAGGCCUAACACAUGCAAGUCGAACGAGUGGCGGACGGGUGAGUAAUGUCUGGGAAACUGCCUGAUGGAGGGGGAUAGCUACUGGAAACGGUAGCUAAUACCGCAUACCAUCAGAUGUGCCCAGAUGGGAUUAGCUUGUGGGUGGGGUAACGGCUCACCAAGGCGACGAUCCCUAGCUGGUCUGAGAGGAUGACCAGCCAAACUGGAACUGAGACACGGUCAGGACUCCUACGGGAGGAAGCAGUGGGGAAUAUUGGACAAUGGGCGCAAGCCUGAUGCAGCCAUGCCGCGUGGAUGAGGAAGGCCUUCGGGUUGUAAAGUACUUUCAGCGGGGAGGCGUUACCCGCAGAGGAAGCACCGGCUAACUCCGUGCCAGCAGCCGCGGUAAUAC
rnacentral:rRNA from 1 species